rnacentral:tRNA from 1 species
GGCUGGCUUAGUCAGUGGACAGUGUGACUCUUGAUCUUAGGGUCGUGAUUUCAAGCUCCAUGGUGGGCG